rnacentral:rRNA from 1 species
UACGAAGGGGGCUAGCGUUGCUCGGAAUCACUGGGCGUAAAGCGCACGUAGGCGGCUUUUUAAGUCUGGGGUGAAAUCCUGGAGCUCAACUUCAGAACUGCCUUUGAUACUGAGAAGCUUGAGUUCGGGAGAGGUGAGUGGAACUGCGAGUGUAGAGGUGAAAUUCGUAGAUAUUCGCAGGAACACCAGUGGCGAAGGCGGCUCACUGGCCCGAUACUGACGCUGAGGUGCGAAAGCGUGGGGAGCAAACAGG